ensembl:lncRNA
AUGCUUCGGCACCAAAGGGUGAUGGGAAUGCUGGGAUACGCACCUUCGUCUAAGCUCUUGUUUGUGUCUGGCUAUCAUCAGUAUCAUUACAGUGCUAAUCUGGGUGUGGUUGGCAGGAAGAGACUCGGCCCAGUGUACCCAAAACAAAGACUGGAGCAGCGAACCCAGAGCUUCAGCAACUUCAAAGCAGAAAUCUUUGCGGUUGAUGAGUUUACUUUAUUCAUGUCACUGCAAUGAUGUAUGAAGGUUUGGUUCCACAAAAACAAGGGCCUUUGUUGGAGAAUGUUAUCCCGGGACCUGUGAGGAAUGGGGUGCUCUAGUUGUGUCUUUCUGGCCCCCAUGAAUUUAAGUGACAUCUCUAGUGAAAGGCCAUUUCAGUGCACAACUGUUUUGCAGAUUUCUUCAGCACAAGAAAAUGAAAACCACACUGAACAGACACCGAAAUAGAACUCAAAGUGCAGGCGAAAGAAGCACUGUCAUUUGAAAACCCUGACAAAGCACGCCUUUAAACCUCUUUCCUGAAGCAGUCCAGUAACAUUUACACAGACAUCCCAAAAACAGUCAUUCCUGGUGAAAAAAUAUGGAGGCUUAUUUUGGCCACCAGACCUUCUUGUCAAACAGUGAGCAUGUGCACAUCCUCUCUCUUGAGAAGUGCUGACGUAACAACACGUUGACACUUCUCGUUCCAGCGACUGUCAGGCAUCGAAAUUGGCUAAGUCGCCUUCCCAUUACUCAGAAACCUGAUCCCAGGUCAGGUGUUGGAAGGGCGGACGUCAACCAGGGAAUUUAACAUGCUGAGGAGAUCUUGGCAGGACAAAAGUGUGUUUUCGGGAUGCUAAAGCAUCGACACUGUCACCCUUCUGCCUUGCAACUUUUAUAUGGGACGCGAAAUUGGGCCACGUAUGUGUUGACAAGCUGUAAAGUGAGAUCCAAAAGCCUUUUCCCCAGUGUGGCUGUAGCUUUAUUAACAUUCCAGUUGCAUUGGGAAAGCACAGUUAUUAAAGGCUACCCAUUAGUCGUGGAGGCAGG